AUAGACGGCGCUUUAAGUUUUUAAAUAUGGCGGCGCUCAUCGUGUGUUCUUCAGUUUGCUUCGAAUUCGAUUAAUUAUGGAGAGUGAAUUUCAACAGAGUUUCAAUAUAAGGAAUAAUUUUGGUUGUAAUAAUGCAAUAGGUAAGAUGAUUAAGACUUCUAAUCCCUAUAAUAUAUUUUAUAGCUAUGUCCAUGUAAGGGAAAUGUUAACUUGAUAACAUUUGAUAA
rnacentral:misc_RNA from 1 species